rnacentral:rRNA from 1 species
UACGUAGGGUGCGAGCGUUAAUCGGAAUUACUGGGCGUAAAGCGUGCGCAGGCGGUUCGUUGUGUCGGCGGGGAAAGCCCCGGGCUCAACCUGGGAAUGGCCGUUGAAACUGGCGAACUGGAGUGUGGCAGAGGGGGGUGGAAUUCCGGGUGUAGUGGUGAAAUGCGUAGAGAUCCGGAGGAACACCAGUGGCGAAGGCGACACGCUGGGCCAUACCUGACGCUAAAGCGCGACAGCAUGGGGAGCAAACGGG